rnacentral:rRNA from 1 species
AUUGAACGCUGGCGGCAGGCCUAACACAUGCAAGUCGAGCGGAUGGCGGGAGCUUGCUCCUCGAUUCAGCGGCGGACGGGUGAGUAAUACCUAGGAAUCUGCCUGAUAGUGGGGGACAACGUUUCGAAAGGAACGCUAAUACCGAACACUUCCUCCGGGAGAAAGAAGGGGACCUUCGGGCCUUGCGCAACCAGCUGAGCCGAGGUCGGAUUAGAUAGUUGGUGAGGUAAUGGCUCACAAAGGCGACGAUCCGUAACUGGUCUGAGAGGAUGAUCAGUCACACUGGAACUGAGACACGGUCCAGACUCCUACGGGAGGCAGCAGUGGGGAAUAUUGGACAAUGGGCGAAAGCCUGAUCCAGCCAUGCCGCGUGUGUGAAGAAGGUCUUCGGAUUGUAAAGCACUUUAAGUUGGGAGGAAGGGCAGUAAGCUAAUACCUUGCUGUUUUGACGUUACCGACAGAAUAAGCACCGGCUAACUCUGUGCCAGCCGCCGCCGUAAAAC